GACGAACGCUGGCGGCGUGCUUAACACAUGCAAGUCGAACGGAAAGGCCCUGCUUUUGUGGGGUGCUCGAGUGGCGAACGGGUGAGUAACACGUCAGUAACCUGCCCUUGACCUUGGGAUAACUUCAGGAAACUGGGGCUAAUACCGGAUAGGAGCUCCUGCUGCUUGGUGGGGGUUGGAAAGUUUCGGCGGUUGGGGAUGGACUCGCGGCUUAUCAGCUUGUUGGUGGGGUAGUGGCUUACCAAGGCUUUGACGGGUAGCCGGCCUGAGAGGGUGACCGGCCACAUUGGGACUGAGAUACGGCCCAGACUCCUACGGGAGGGCGCAGUGGGGAAUAUUGCGAAAUGGGCGGAAGCCUGAUGCAGCAACGCCGCGUGCGGGAUGACGGCCUUCGGGUUGUAAACCACUUUCGCCUGUGACGAAGCGUGAGUGACGGUAAUGGGUAAAGAAGCACCGGCUAACUACGUG
rnacentral:rRNA from 1 species